rnacentral:rRNA from 1 species
GAUGAACGCUAGCGGCAGGCCUAAUACAUGCAAGUCGAGGGGCAGCAGGGAUAGCAAUAUUCGCUGGCGACCGGCGCACGGGUGCGUAACACGUAUACAAUCUGCCUUUAACAGGGGGAUAGCCCGGAGAAAUCCGGAUUAAUACCCCAUAACACGAGAAACGGCAUCGUUUUUUGUUGAAAGCUCCGGCGGUUAAAGAUGAGUAUGCGUCUGAUUAGCUAGUUGGUGAGGUAACGGCUCACCAAGGCAACGAUCAGUAGGGGAUCUGAGAGGAUUAACCCCCACACGGAUACUGAGACACGGAUCCGACUCCUACGGGAGGCAGCAGUAAGGAAUAUUGGACAAUGCCCGCAAGGGUGAUCCAGCCAUGCCGCGUGCAGGAAGA